UACGUAGGGGGCAAGCGUUAUCCGGAUUUACUGGGUGUAAAGGGAGCGUAGACGGCAAUGCAAGUCUGAUGUGAAAACCUGGGGCUUAACCGCAGGACUGCAUUGGAAACUGUCAAGCUGGAGUGCAGGAGGGGUAAGCGGAAUCCCUAGUGUAGCGGUGAAAUGCGUAGAUAUCAGGAGGAACACCGGUGGCGAAGGCGGCUUACUGGACUGUAACUGACGUUGAGGCUCGAAAGCGAGGGGAGCAAAC
rnacentral:rRNA from 1 species